GCGCCCUUGGUGUAACAGUAACACACAAUCUAUUAAUGCUGCGUGAUUCUAUCAAAGUAUUUGGAUUGGGUCCGGGGUUCGACUCCCCGAAGGCGCA